UCUUAUGGAUGAACAAAGAAAGUAGUUUCUUGAGAUGGAAUCUACUCCUUGUGAAAAGGCUGUAAA
rnacentral:pre_miRNA from 1 species